rnacentral:rRNA from 1 species
GACGAACGCUGGCGGCGUGCCUAACACAUGCAAGUCGAACGGAAAGGCCCGGCUUUUGUGGGGCGCUCGAGUGGCGAACGGGGGAGUAACACGUGAGUAACAUGCCCUUGACUGUGGGAUAACUUCAGGAAACUGGGGCUCAUACCGGAUAGGAGCUACUGCAGCAUGGGGGGGGUUGGAAAGUUUCGGCCGUUUGGGCUAGACUCGCGGCUUAUCAGCUUGUUGGUGGGGUAGUGGCGGACAAAGGCUGUGACGGGUAGCCGGCCUGAGAGGUGGGCCGGCCACAAUGCGCCUGCGGUACGGCCCAGACUCCAAUGUGACGCAGCGGGGGAGAACCUUACACAGUGGGCGGGCGCCUGAUGUGGCAGCCCCGCGAGCGGGAUGACGGCCUUCGGGUUGUGAACCGCUUUCGCCUGUGCCGAGGCGUGAGUGACGGUAAUGGGUAAAGAAGCACCGGCUAACUACGUG